rnacentral:rRNA from 1 species
UACGAAGGGGGGCUAGCGUUGCUCGGAAUUACUGGGCGUAAAGGGCGCGUAGGCGGGUCGUUUAGUUAGAGGUGAAAGCCCCAGGGCUCAACCCUGGAAUAGCCUUUAAUACUGGCGGCCUUGAGUAUGGCAGAGGUGUGUGGAACUCCGAGUGUAGAGGUGAAAUUCGUAGAUAUUCGGAAGAACACCAGUGGCGAAGGCGACACACUGGGCCAUUACUGACGCUGAGGCGCGAAAGCGUGGGAGCAACAGG